GCGCGGCUCUCACCUGCGCCGGGCGCGGCUCCCACCUGCGCCGGCAGCCGCAGCCCCAUUGGCGUUCCCGGGUGCCGCUCAGCGCCGGGCCCGCCUGCCCAGGACGGUGCCGUGGGGCGAGGCCCCAGUGAGUCACAGCCCGGACGGUGACACACGGCCGCUGGAACCCCCGGGAAAUGACAGCCGGUGUCACCCCCGGCCGCUGCACGCACCGAGGGCUGAGGCCCGACAGCACUUGUGACACCAGUGGGACAGCCCCAGGUGCCCUGUGGGUGCAAAGUUAGGCCACAAAGACCCCCAGAAGAACCGGAGGGAAUCUCCUGCUCAGCACUGGAGUUUUUGGGGUGUCGCCCCUCGCCCAAAUCAUAACUCACACCCCUUUACAGGUGGGGAAACUGAGGCCGCCCCGAACAGGCCUGCAGAGGGGCUCGCCCGUAGUUAAGCCCAGCCCUUCAGCCCCCCCAGAUCCACCCUGGGCUGGCCUGGCCCCCCCGCCCGCCGUGUCCGCUCCGGGGAGCAGCGGGCGCUGAUCGCGGCUGACAGCUGCUGCUCCGCGCCCGCCGGUGCCGGCGCCCUGCCCGAGGGGCCGCGGGGCCGCCGCACGCACGGAGCCCCUCGCCGGGCUCGGGGGGUCCCAGCCCCGCCGCUGCCGCCGCCCCACGGCCCCGGUGCCGCUGCUCCCCGCUCGCCAUGAUCAUCCGCCCCCGACGCCUGACCCCGGGCUACUUCCGACUGCUCCAGAUGCAGCUGGCAGCGGGACGUGAGGCUGAGCCGGGGGGGCGGCUGCUGACCCCCCUGGCCCUGCUGCUGGCGGCCGCCGGGCUCUGCCUGUCCCUCUACAGCGCCCGGAGAAUGGCUGACCCCGCCAAGGCCCCCCCGGAGCCGUGAGGAGGGGGCUGGGGGCCCUGGGGACAGUCCCCCGGGAGUGUUGGGGCCCUGGGGACAGUCCCCGGGGGUGUUGGGGUCCCCUCCACCCACCGGCCCCCGCCCGAGCUCUGCAGCUGACCUGCGCCACAUCCAGCCCUUCCCACUGCGAUGGGUGCCCUGGGCACGGGGGACACGCCUGUCCCCGCCUGCCCCCGCCUUGGGCAGCCGGGAUAGAGAACGGAGAAGCCGCUUCCAGCUCCGGAGCUGCCGGCUGAGCCCGGCCCGAGCCACGGGACAUCGGGUUCCGGCCACCAGAGCAGAGGCUGGAUGGACAGACAGAGGGACGGCAGAACCGGGAGCUGCAUCCACCCCCCGCGGAAGCAGAGGGGCCUGGGGACCCCAGUGGUGGCCACAGAGCGCCCCUGUCCCCAUGGGAACGUGCGGUGGCCGCAGCCCCGCAGGAAUGAGGCCAGCGCCGUGUUAGGUAACGGGCAGGGGGGACACGGGGCGAUAACGUGUCCUGGGCAGGCACAUCCCACCCCGUGUCCCUGGGAAGGCACAUCCCAUCCCGUGUCCCUGGGCAGGCACAUCCCAUCCCAUGUCCCUGGGCAGGCACAUCCCGUGUCCCUGGGCAGGCACAUCCCAUCCCGUGUCCCUGGGCAGGCAUAUCCCGCUGGGAUGGCGGCUGCAGCCUCCCCAACGCCCGCAGAGCUGCGGCUCUCCCUCCCUCGGCUCUCCCUCCCUCCCCCGGAGCCGUGGGGACAAAUCCGGGCAGGCUGUGUGGAAAUAAACCCUUCCCUUCCCAGCA